GACGAACGCUGGCGGCGUGCUUAACACAUGCAAGUCGAACGGAAAGGCCCUGCUUUUGUGGGUUGCUCGAGUGGCGAACGGGUGAGUAACACGUGAGUAACCUGCCCUUGACUUUGGGAUAACUUCAGGAAACUGGGGCUAAUACCGGAUAGGAUCUCCUGCUGCAUGGUGUGGGUUGGAAAGUUUCGGCGGUUGGGGAUGGACUCGCGGCUUAUCCGCUUGUUUGUGGGGUAGUGGCUUACCAAGGCUUUGACGGGUAGCCGGCCUGAGAGGGUUACCGGCGACAAGGGGACUGAGAUACGGACCAGACUCCUACGGGAGGCAGCAGUGGGGAAUAUGGCACAAUGGGGGGAAGUCUGAGGCAGAAACGCCGCGUGCGGGAUGACGGCCUUCGGGUUGUAAACCGCUUUCGCCUGUGACGAAGCGUGAGUGACGGUAAUGGGUAAAGAAGCACCGGCUAACUACGUG
rnacentral:rRNA from 1 species